rnacentral:rRNA from 1 species
UACGUAGGGUGCGAGCGUUAAUCGGAAUUACUGGGCGUAAAGCGUGCGCAGGCGGUUUUGUAAGCCAGAUGUGAAAGCCCCGGGCUUAACCUGGGAAUGGCAUUUGGGACUGCAAGGCUGGAGUGUGGCAGAGGAGACUGGAAUUCCUGGUGUAGCAGUGAAAUGCGUAGAUAUCGGGAGGAACACCAGUGGCGAAGGCGGCACUCUGGGCCGGAACUGACGCUGAGGAGCGAAAGCGUGGGGAGCGAACAGG